rnacentral:rRNA from 1 species
UGCAAGUCGAGGGGCAGCACGAUGUAGCAAUACAUUGGUGGCGACCGGCGGACGGGUGCGUAACACGUAUGCAACUUGCCUUAUACUGGGGAAUAGCCCGAAGAAAUUCGGAUUAAUACCCCAUAAUAUCAGGAUAAGCAUUUAUCUUGGUUGAAAACUCCGGUGGUAUAAGAUGGGCAUGCGGUCGAUUAGCUUGUUGGUGAGGUAAUGGCUCACCAAGGCGACGAUCGAUAGGGGGCCUGAGAGGGUGAUCCCCCACACUGGUACUGAGACACGGACCAGACUCCUACGGGAGGCAGCAGUAAGGAAUAUUGGUCAAUGGGCGAGAGCCUGAACCAGCCACGCCGCGUGAAGGAAGACGGCCCUACGGGUUGUAAACUUCUUUUCUACGGGAAUAAACCUCAGGACGUGUCGUGAGCUGAAGGUACCGUAGGAAUAAGCAUCGGCUAACUCCGUGCCAGCAGCCGCGGUAAUACGGAGGAUGCAAGCGUUAUCCGGAUUUAUUGGGUUUAAAGGGUGCGUAGGUGGGAUAAUAAGUCAGAGGUGAAAGCUAGCAGCUUAACUGUUAAAUUGCCUUUGAUACUGUUAUUCUUGAGUGUAGUUGGCGUUGGCGGAAUGUGACAUGUAGCGGUGAAAUGCGUAGAUAUGUCACAGAACACCGAUCGCGAAGGCAGCUAACGAAGCUAUCACUGACACUGAU